rnacentral:rRNA from 1 species
UACCAGAAAGGAACGGCUAAAUACGUGCCAGCAGCCGCGGUAAUACGUAUGUUCCAAGCGUUAUCCGGAUUUAUUGGGCGUAAAGCGAGCGCAGACGGUUAUUUAAGUCUGAAGUGAAAGCCCUCAGCUCAACUGAGGAAUUGCUUUGGAAACUGGAUGACUUGAGUGCAGUAGAGGAAAGUGGAACUCCAUGUGUAGCGGUGAAAUGCGUAGAUAUAUGGAAGAACACCAGUGGCGAAGGCGGCUUUCUGGACUGUAACUGACGUUGAGGCUCGAAAGUGUGGGUAGCAAACAGGAUUAGAUACCCUGGUAGUCCACACCGUAAACGA